GUACAUUUUAUAUAAAGCUAGGUUAAUAAUUAUUGUAUUUAACCCGAAUCAUAUAUAAAGCUCAAUAUUCGUGAACUUUUCAUCCAUUGUCUUAUUUAGAAGCCAUUGGAGUUCAUCUUGUGGGGUCAUGUGGUCAUGCAUUCAUGCAUGGCUACAUUAUAUACCACAAAUAUUGUAAACAGUUAAUAAAUAUACUCCACUUAAGGGGCAUGUACGGUACAUAAUUGCAAAAUAGGCUAAACUUUAAUAUUAUUAAUUGCAAAAUAUAAUAGAUAUUUGAUUUCCAAAAGAACCACAGCCCACAGGGAGUAGAAACGCACAAUAUAUUUAUACAGUUACAAUAAGCUAUAUUCCUAUAAAUUACCUUGUCACCC